GACGAACGCUGGCGGCGUGCUUAACACAUGCAAGUCGAACGGGAAGUCCCGGCUUUGGUGGGGUGCUCGAGGUGCGAACGGGUGAGUAACACGUGAGUAACCUACCCUUGACUUUGGGAGAACUUCAUGAAACUGAGGCUAAUACCGGAUAGGAGUUCCUGCUGCAUGGUGGGGGUUGGAUAGUUUCGGCGGUUGGUGAUGGACUCGCGGCUUAUCAGCUUGUUGGUGGGGUAGUGGCUUACCAAGGCUUUGACGGGUAGCCGGGCUGAGAGGGUGACCGGCUACACUGGGACUGAACUAAGGCACAGACUCGUACGGGACGCAGCGGUGCGGAAGAUUGCACAAUGGGAGGAAGCAUGAUGCAGCAAAGCAGCGUGGGGGAUGACGGCAAGCGGGUUGUAAACCGCUUUCGCCUGUGACGAAGCGUGAGUGACGGUAAUGGGUAAAGAAGCACCGGCUAACUACGUG
rnacentral:rRNA from 1 species